rnacentral:rRNA from 1 species
UACGUAGGGUGCAAGCGUUAAUCGGAAUUACUGGGCGUAAAGCGCGCGCAGGCGGUUUUGUAAGUCUGUCGUGAAAGCCCCGGGCUCAACCUGGGAACUGCGUUGGAGACUGCAAGGCUAGAAUCUGGCAGAGGGGGGUAGAAUUCCACGUGUAGCAGUGAAAUGCGUAGAGAUGUGGAGGAACACCGAUGGCGAAGGCAGCCCCCUGGGUCAAGAUUGACGCUCAUGCACGAAAGCGUGGGGAGCAAACAGG